UAAUACAGAGGGGGCAAGCGUUGUUCGGAAUUACUGGGCGUAAAGGGCGCGUAGGCGGCCUUUUAAGUCGAACGUGAAAUCCCCGGGCUCAACCCGGGAACUGCGUCCGAGACUGGAAGGCUCGAAUCCGGGAGAGGGAUGUGGAAUUCCAGGUGUAGCGGUGAAAUGCGUAGAUAUCUGGAGGAACAUCGGUGGCGAAGGCGGCAUCCUGGACCGGUAUUGACGCUGAGGCGCGAAAGCCAGGGGAGCAAACGGGAUUAGAUACCCCGGUAGUCCUGGCCCUAAACGAUGAAUGCUUGGUGUGGCGGGUAUCGAUCCCUGCCGUGCCGAAGCUAACGCAUUAAGCAUUCCGCCUGGGGAGUACGGUCGCAAGGCUG
rnacentral:rRNA from 1 species